CGGGGGGGUAAGCGUUGUUCGGAAUUACUGGGCGUAAAGGGCUCGUAGGCGGCCAACUAAGUCAGACGUGAAAUCCCUCAGCUUAACUGGGGAACUGCGUCUGAUACUGGAUGGCUUGGAUUCGGGAGAGGGAUGCGGAAUUCCAGGUGUAGCGGUGAAAUGCGUAGAUAUCUGGAGGAACACCGGUGGCGAAGGCGGCAUCCUGGACCGAUAUUGACGCUGAGGAGCGAAAGCCAGGGGAGCAAACGGGAUUAGAUACCCCGGUAGUCCUGGCCCUAAACGAUGAAUGCUUGGUGUAGCGGGUAUCGAUCCCUGCUGUGCCGAAGCUAACGCAUUAAGCAUUCCGCCUGGGGAUACGGUCGCAAGGCUG
rnacentral:rRNA from 1 species